GACGAACGCUGGCGGCGUGGAUUAGGCAUGCAAGUCGAACGGUAUGGACCUUUCGGGGUUCAGAGAGUGGCGAACGGGUGAGUAACACGUAGGUAAUCUACCCUCAAGACGGGGACAACCCAGGGAAACUUGGGCUAAUACCGGAUGUGAGCAACUUUUAGUUGUUUGAAAGGUGGCGUAAGCUGUCGCUUGGGGAUGAGCCUGCGUCCUAUUAGUUAGUUGGUGAGGUAACGGCUCACCUAGGCAAUGAUAGGUAGGCGGCCUUAACGGGUGGUCGCCCACACUGGGAUUGAGAUACGGCCCAGACUCCUACGGGAGGCAGCAGUCGAGAAUAGUCUACAAUGGUCGGAAGACUGAUAGUGCGACGCCGCGUGAACGAUGAAUCCCUUCGGGGUGUAAAGUUCUUUUAUAUGUGAGCAGUGCUUCUUAUAUUAACAGUAUGGGGAGAGAGAUAUUAGCAUAUGAAUAAGCAACGGCUAACUCCGUGCCAGCAGCCGCGGUAAUCU
rnacentral:rRNA from 1 species